AGAUGGGAGCUUGCUCCCUGAUGUUAGCGGCGGACGGGUGAGUAACACGUGGGUAACCUGCCUGUAAGACUGGGAUAACUCCGGGAAACCGGGGCUAAUACCGGAUGCUUGUUUGAACCGCAUGGUUCAGACAUAAAAGGUGGCUUCGGCUACCACUUACAGAUGGACCCGCGGCGCAUUAGCUAGUUGGUGAGGUAACGGCUCACCAAGGCGACGAUGCGUAGCCGACCUGAGAGGGUGAUCGGCCACACUGGGACUGAGACACGGCCCAGACUCCUACGGGAGGCAGCAGUAGGGAAUCUUCCGCAAUGGACGAAAGUCUGACGGAGCAACGCCGCGUGAGUGAUGAAGGUUUUCGGAUCGUAAAGCUCUGUUGUUAGGGAAGAACAAGUGCCGUUCAAAUAGGGCGGCACCUUGACGGUACCUAACCAGAAAGCCACGGCUAACUACGUGCCAGCAGCCGCGGUAAUACGUAGGUGGCAAGCGUUGUCCGGAAUUAUUGGGCGUAAAGGGCUCGCAGGCGGUUUCUUAAGUCUGAUGUGAAAGCCCCCGGCUCAACCGGGGAGGGUCAUUGGAAACUGGGGAACUUGAGUGCAGAAGAGGAGAGUGG
rnacentral:rRNA from 1 species